rnacentral:rRNA from 1 species
GACGAACGCUGGCGGCGCGCCUAACACAUGCAAGUCGAACGGAGCUGAGAGAAGCUUGCUUGUCUUAGCUUAGUGGCGAACGGGUGAGUAACGCGGGAGUAACCUGCCCUGGAGUGGGGGACAACAGUAGGAAACGACUUCUAAUACCGCAUAAGCCCACGAUCCGGGAUCGGCUUGAGGGAAAAGGGUUUAUUCGCUUCAGGAGGGACUCGCGUCCAAUUAGCUAGUUGGUGAGGUAACGGCCCACCAAGGCGACGAUUGGUAGCCGGACUGAGAGGUUGAACGGCCACAUUGGGACUGAGACACGGCCCAGACUCCUACGGGAGGCAGCAGUGGGGGAUAUUGCACAAUGGGGGAAACCCUGAUGCAGCGACGCCGCGUGGAGGAAGAAGGUUUUCGGAUUGUAAACUCCUGUCGUUAGGGACGAUAAUGACGGUACCUAACAAGAAAGCACCGGCUAACUACGUG